CGAUGAACCACUUCGGUGGGGAUUAGUGGCGAACGGGUGAGUAACACGUGGGCAAUCUGCCCUGCACUCUGGGACAAGCCCUGGAAACGGGGUCUAAUACCGGAUAUGACCAUCUUGGGCAUCCUUGAUGGUGUAAAGCUCCGGCGGUGCAGGAUGAGCCCGCGGCCUAUCAGCUUGUUGGUGAGGUAACGGCUCACCAAGGCGACGACGGGUAGCCGGCCUGAGAGGGCGACCGGCCACACUGGGACUGAGACACGGCCCAGACUCCUACGGGAGGCAGCAGUGGGGAAUAUUGCACAAUGGGCGAAAGCCUGAUGCAGCGACGCCGCGUGAGGGAUGACGGCCUUCGGGUUGUAAACCUCUUUCAGCAGGGAAGAAGCGAAAGUGACGGUACCUGCAGAAGAAGCGCCGGCUAACUACGUGCCAGCAGCCGCGGUAAUACGUAGGGCGCGAGCGUUGUCCGGAAUUAUUGGGCGUAAAGAGCUCGUAGGCGGCUUGUCGCGUCGGUUGUGAAAGCCCGGGGCUUAACCCCGGGUCUGCAGUCGAUACGGGCAGGCUAGAGUUCGGUAGGGGAGAUCGGAAUUCCUGGUGUAGCGGUGAAAUGCGCAGAUAUCAGGAGGAACACCGGUGGCGAAGGCGGAUCUCUGGGCCGAUACUGACGCUGAGGAGCGAAAGCGUGGGGAGCGAACAGGAUUAGAUACCCUGGUAGUCCACGCCGUAAACGGUGGGCACUAGGUGUGGGCAACAUUCCACGUUGUCCGUGCCGCAGCUAACGCAUUAAGUGCCCCGCCUGGGGAGUAC
rnacentral:rRNA from 1 species